UACGUAGGGUGCAAGCGUUAAUCGGAAUUACUGGGCGUAAAGCGUGCGCAGGCGGCUUUGCAAGACAGAUGUGAAAUCCCCGGGCUUAACCUGGGAACUGCAUUUGUGACUGCAUGGCUGGAGUGCGGCAGAGGGGGAUGGAAUUCCGCGUGUAGCAGUGAAAUGCGUAGAUAUGCGGAGGAACACCGAUGGCGAAGGCGGCCUGCUGGGUUCUGGCUGACACUGAGGCGCGACAGCGUGGGGAGCAAACAGG
rnacentral:rRNA from 1 species